rnacentral:rRNA from 1 species
CCUACGGGAGGCAGCAGUGGGGGAUAUUGCACAAUGGGGGGAACCCUGAUGCAGCGAAGCCGCGUGGGUGAAGGAGCGUUUAGGCGCGUAAAGCCCUAUCGGCAGGGAAGAAGGAGGACGGUACCUGACUAAGAAGCACCGGCUAACUACGUGCCAGCAGCCGCGGUAAGACGUAGGGGGCAAGCGUUAUCCGGAUUUACUGGGUGUAAAGGGGGUGCAGACGGCAGCGGAAUCCAGGGGUGAAAGCCCGGGGCCCAACCCCGGUACUGCCCUUGGAACUGCUCGGCUGGAGGGCAGGAGGGGCAGGCGGAAUUCCUGGUGUAGCGGUGAAAUGCGUAGAUAUCAGGAAGAACACCGAUGGCGAAGGCGGCCUGCUGGACUGCGACUGACGUUGAGGCCCGAAAGCGUGGGGAGCAAACAGGAUUAGAUACCCUUGUAGUC